GUGAGGAAUUUUCCGCAAUGGACGAAAGUCUGACGGAGCGACGCCGCGUGGGUGACGAAGGUCUUCGGAUCGUAAAGCCCUGUCAGGGGGAAAGAAACCCGUUAUCGCUAAUACCGGUGACGGUUGACGGUACCCCCAAAGGAAGCACCGGCCAACUACGUGCCAGCAGCCGCGGUAAUACGUAGGGUGCAAGCGUUAUCCGGAAUUACUGGGCGUAAAGAGCUCGUAGGCGGUUGGAUAAGUCGCAUGUUAAAGACCCAAGCUUAACUUGGGGGCUGCGUGCGAUACUGUCCGGCUAGAGAACGGGAGAGGAAUGUGGAAUUCCUGGUGUAGCGGUGAAAUGCAUAGAUAUCAGGAAGAACACCUGUGGCGAAGGCGGCAUUCUAGACCGUUUCUGACGCUGAGGAGCGAAAGCCAGGGGAGCGAACGGGAUUAGAUACCCCAGUAGUCC
rnacentral:rRNA from 1 species